UAUUUAUUUUAGGUUGCAUGAUUUUAUUCAGAUAAAUUCAAUUACGAACAGAAAAAAUUACACAUCAAAAUGUCACACAAAUGUUAGAAACAUCAGGAGCAACUUUGGUUCUACUUAAAAUUAUCAUAAAAUGAAUACUUUGGAUUUGUUUAUUUUGAUAUGGAGCUUUUUGGUACAAUUAACUUUUGUUGCAAGGAAUCUGGUAACAACUCAACCAUCACAAACCACUCUAAUUUACAUACCACAAACGUGUCUACCUGCUUCAAGUA